rnacentral:rRNA from 1 species
ACACAUGCAAGUCGAGGGGCAGCAUGAACUUAGCUUGCUAAGUUUGAUGGCGACCGGCGCACGGGUGAGUAACACGUAUCCAACCUGCCGAUGACUCGGGGAUAGCCUUUCGAAAGAAAGAUUAAUACCCGAUGGCAUAGUUCUUCCGCAUGGUAGAACUAUUAAAGAAUUUCGGUCAUCGAUGGGGAUGCGUUCCAUUAGGUUGUUGGCGGGGUAACGGCCCACCAAGCCUUCGAUGGAUAGGGGUUCUGAGAGGAAGGUCCCCCACAUUGGAACUGAGACACGGUCCAAACUCCUACGGGAGGCAGCAGUGAGGAAUAUUGGUCAAUGGACGAGAGUCUGAACCAGCCAAGUAGCGUGAAGGAUGACUGCCCUAUGGGUUGUAAACUUCUUUUAUACGGGAAUAAAGUGAGCCACGUGUGGCUUUUUGUAUGUACCGUAUGAAUAAGGAUCGGCUAACUCCGUGCCAGCAGCCGCGGUAAUACGGAGGAUCCGAGCGUUAUCCGGAUUUAUUGGGUUUAAAGGGAGCGUAGGCGGGUUGUUAAGUCAGUUGUGAAAGUUUGCGGCUCAACCGUAAAAUUGCAGUUGAUACUGGCGACCUUGAGUGCAACAGAGGUAGGCGGAAUUCGUGGUGUAGCGGUGAAAUGCUUAGAUAUCACGAAGAACUCCGAUUGCGAAGGCAGCUUACUGGAUUGUAACUGACGCUGAUGCUCGAAAGUGUGGGUAUCAAACAGGAUUAGAUACC